GGACUACUCGGGUUUCUAAUCCUGUUUGCUCCCCUAGCUUUCGCAGCUGAGUGUCAGUAAUAGUCCAGAUACCUGCUUUCGCCAUUGGUGUUCCUCCCGAUCUCUGCGCAUUUCACCGCUACACCGGGAAUUCCAGUAUCCUCUCCUAUACUCAAGCCUGACAGUAUCCGUUGACCUCUCCCAGUUGAGCCGGGAGCUUUCACAACGGACUUAUCAAACCACCUACCUGCCCUUUACGCCUAGUAAUUCCGAGUAACGCUUGCCACCUUCGUAUUACCGCGGCGGCUGGCAC
rnacentral:rRNA from 1 species